CCCGCUGAAUUUAAGCAUAUUAAUAAGCGGAGGAAAAGAAACUAACAAGGAUUCCCUCAGUAACGGCGAGUGAAGCGGGAAGAGCUCAAAUUUGAAAUCUCCGAUGCCUGCAUCGGCGAGUUGUAGUUGCGRGAAGCACUUUCUAGGUGGAUCGGCAGUGCCUAAGUUGCUUGGAACAGCAGGUCGCAGAGGGUGACAACCCCGUCUGUGRCGCUGCCGGCCGCUGACGAUGUGCUUUCGAAGAGUCGGGUUGUUUGGGAAUGCAGCCCAAAAUGGGUGGUAAACUCCAUCUAAAGCUAAAUACUGGCGUGAGACCGAUAGCGAACAAGUACCGUGAGGGAAAGAUGAAAAGAACUUUGAAAAGAGAGUUAAAAAGUACGUGAAACCGUCGGAAGGGAAACGAAUGGACUCAGCAAUGCGCCCUCUGAGAUUCAGCCGGUGGGUGGCGUCGGCGCCGGGCUUGCGGAUCUGAAUGGACCGCGGCCUGGCGCUCGCUUCUCCCCGCCGUCGCACUUCUCUGGGGCGCGCGUCAACGUGGGUUGGGACUGGGUCUGAAAGGUACCGGGAAGGUAGGAGUGGGCCUUCGGGUCCGCUCUGUUACAGCCCGGUUCUCUCAUGGCUCGGGCCCGACCGAGGAGGACCAAGGGACAGGGCAUGCCUCCUGUGGCUAGGGUGCCGUCCUUCCGGCCGGCUGUCCAGUGUGGUGGACUGCUUGCAGUGCUCCGCGACGGCUGCCGGUCGYUGGGGUGGUGAUCUCGUACCAUGCCCUUAGGAUGUUGGCGGUCAUAUGGGUGC
rnacentral:rRNA from 1 species